rnacentral:rRNA from 1 species
UACGAAGGGUGCUAGCGUUGUUCGGAAUUACUGGGCGUAAAGGGCGUGUAGGCGGAUGAUCAAGCUAGGGGUGAAAGCCCAGGGCCCAACCCUGGAACUGCCUUUAGAACUGAUUGUCUAGAAUCCGUAAGGGGAGUGUGGAAUUCCUAGUGUAGAGGUGAAAUUCGUAGAUAUUAGGAAGAACACCAGUGGCGAAGGCGGCACUCUGGUACGGUAUUGACGCUGAGGCGCGAAAGCGUGGGGAGCAAACAGG